GAUAAGGUAGCUCAAUUAGUAGAGCAGGGAGCCUUUUAAGCCCCAGAUAUAGGUGCAAACCCUAUCCUUGUUU
rnacentral:tRNA from 2 species